GCUGCAACUCGCCUACAUGAAGCUGGAAUCGCUAGUAAUCGCGGAUCAGCAUGCCGCGGUGAAUACGUUCCCGGGCCUUGUACACACCGCCCGUCACACCACGAGAGUUUGUAACACCCGAAGUCGGUGGAGUAACCGUAAGGAGCUAGCCGCCUAAGGUGGGACAGAUGAUUGGGGUGAAGUCGUAACAAGGUAGCCGUAUCGGAAGGUGCGGCUGGAUCACCUCCUUUCUAAGGA
rnacentral:rRNA from 1 species